CUGACUUCUUAAGGCUCAGCUUAAGCAUUGUGGUCCCAGUACUAAACAGAAUGCUCCUUUGUGUGAUUUAAGUAUUCUGAAAAGUGGGUUACCUGACAUCCCAGGCUCAGACAUUUUUGUUGACUGAGCACAUUGGAAGACUUGCAUCCACACGAUUUGAUCAACUUGGGAAUAUAUUCCUUCCCUGGAGAAAGUCAGUUGCAACCUGGGGAAGGAAGGACAUGCUUAAAAGGUCUCUGUCUCAUGCACUCAGAAGCCACUGAGUUGAGCAAUUUCCUAUUUGACUCAAUGUGCGUCUCUCAUUUUCAUGCUUUGAUUUUUUGCACUGGUUUUCUUGGUAAUGAAGGGUAGUGGGAAAGGGAGGCAGAAUUAUCUAAAUACAGUAAUUACCAAAUUGAAACCUAUUCAAACAGCUAGGUUACUAGGUUCAGACUGACCUUGACACUUUCAACCUUCAGAUUCCAGUUGGUUGGGGUCAGCCACAAAUGUCGAGUUGCUGAGUGAUUUCCACAUGCUUCUUUUGUGUACCUUAACAAGGGCAGACAAAAGAUGUUUUUCCAGUGGGACUCACUCUUUAUGAGGCCUGACCCUCGAAGGAGCAAAUUAAUCUCAGGCGAUUUUGAGGUUUUAGGGCACUAAGAGAAUUUUUAGAGCAUGGAGAAGUAAUUUGUUCAAUGGUGCCUUAGAAGAGUUAAUUUACCUCCAAAAGGUAUUAUCUCAAUGAUCAAAAGCCUACAAACUUACCCCAAGAAAUAGAUUUCUGUUGUUUGCUGCGCUACACCUGAGGACUCAAGAGUGUGCUCCUGGGUCCAGGGCCUGCAAAGGCAGCAUUUUCCCCUUGAGGAUGCAUAUAUGAUGCCAUUCGAUUGAUGGCUUCAGUCCAGAGCUGGCUACUAUGUGAGUGGGCAUUUGCCAGAGAGAGGCAGUGUCAUAACGGCAUUUAGGAAUGAACACUCUAGAGCCAGAUAACUUGGAUUUGAAUCCCUGUUGUACCAUGUUUCAGCUGUGGAACCUUGGAGCAUGCCUUCGUUGAGCUGAGACCCAGGCUUCUCUGACAAACUCUGUUGAGG
rnacentral:lncRNA from 1 species